rnacentral:rRNA from 1 species
GACGAACGCUGGCGGCGUGCUUAACACAUGCAAGUCGAACGGAAAGGCCCUGCUUUUGUGGGGUGCUCGAGUGGCGAACGGGUGAGUAACACGUGAGUAACCUGCCCUUGACUUUGGGAUAACUUCAGGAAACUGGGACUAAUACCGGAUAGGAGCUCCUGCUGCAUGGUGGGGGUUGGAAAGUUUCGGCGGUUGGGGAUGGACUCGCGGCUUAUCAGCUUGUUGGUGGGGUAGUGGCUUACCAAGGCUUUGACGGGUAGCCGGCCUGAGAGGGUGACCGGCCACAUUGGGACUGAGAUACGGCCCAGACUCCUACGGGAGGCAGCAGUGGGGAAUAUUGCACAAUGGGCGGAAGCACGAUGCAGCAACGCCGCGUGCGGGAUGACGGCCUUCGGGUUGUAAACCGCUUUCGCCUGUGACGAAGCGUGAGUGACGGUAAUGGGUAAAGAAGCACCGGCUAACUACGUG